UACGUAGGGUGCAAGCGUUAAUCGGAAUUACUGGGCGUAAAGCGUGCGCAGGCGGUUUUGUAAGUCAGAUGUGAAAUCCCCGGGCUUAACCUGGGAACUGCGUUUGAAACUACAAGGCUAGAGUGUGGCAGAGGGGGGUGGAAUUCCACGUGUAGCAGUGAAAUGCGUAGAGAUGUGGAGGAACACCGAUGGCGAAGGCAGCCCCCUGGGUUAACACUGACGCUCAGGCACGAAAGCGCGGGGAGCAAACAGG
rnacentral:rRNA from 1 species